rnacentral:rRNA from 1 species
GGAUUAGUAUAUUGAUCAUGCCUUCAAUACGUAUUGGUGUUACUGAUUCUACCUUCUGACGAACCAUCAUGUCAUUAAUUUGGUGUGGCGGGGAAUCAGGACUGUUACUUUGAAAAAUUAGAGUGUUUAAAGCAGGCUCGCGCUUGAAUACAUUAGCAUGGAAUAAUGAAAUAGGACGUUGAUCCUAUUUUGUUGGUUUCUAGAAUUGACGUAAUGAUUAAU